rnacentral:rRNA from 1 species
UACAGAGGUCCCAAGCGUUGUUCGGAUUCACUGGGCGUAAAGGGUGCGCAGGUGGGCUGGUAAGUUCGAUGUGAAAGCCCCGGGCUUAACCCGGGAAAGGCAUUGGAUACUACUGGUCUGGAGGAUCGGAGGGGGGACUGGAAUUCUUGGUGUAGCAGUGAAAUGCGUAGAGAUCGGGAGGAACAUCAGUUGCGAAGGCGGCUCUCUGGACCAGCACUGACACUGAGGCACGAAAGCGUGGGAGCAAACAGG